rnacentral:tRNA from 1 species
GGGCCAGUAGCUCAAGUAGGAGCAUCGGUUUUAGAAACCGAAGGUGAGGUGCAACUCCUCCCUGGUCGA